CAGGAGGCAAACCGAUUGGUUGCAAAACUAGCCUCGCAGCCUGGAACAGCCCGAGAGGCGUUAUCCCAACUGCUCGACCGCUGUGAGCUGCCGACAACCUGGUCCCACGAGCUUACGCUCAUGGUGGUGUCUCUCUGCGAGGAGGAGGCUCCGUCCCCCGCGCCCGUUUCAGAUGGUCGCGUGGAUCCGUACGUCGACUUCACACCACUCAUCAGUGCCCUGGAGGCAGCACGCUGACACAGAUGUCACGCUUAUUCCAGCGGUGAAAAGGACCAAUGAAUUAGACCCUCGUCAGUGCAGCAGCUGCUCGGAGCGCAUCGCAUCGAAUGCACUUGUGGUGCAUGGGCAGGGCACAGCUGCAACCGUACAGUUUCUUGCAAUAUUUACAAGAGGAAACUGUGGCGCUGCAAAAACCACCAUGGGGAUUAUGGAUAGUGCAUAAAUUUGUCUAGUUUUAGUGUGUGCGGCUUCAAACGCACUUGCGACUUCAUUUGUCUCUGCAUUUUGGGUUCUACUUUAAAUAAGACAACGGCUUUUUCUAAACUCUGUUUGCUGAUUUGAAUGGGUGAGCCCAAAGGGUGAAAGCGGUGUAGUAGGACUGCUCAUCUUUUGCCAAACUCUCUUGUGAGAAAGUGGCUUCAUGUUGAAAAAGGAGCCACACAGAGUCAAGACUAUGAUGCUUAGGCAAAUCCAUGUACUAUCAAUCAUUCCCAUACUAGCUAAAGCCCGAUGCCGCUCUCAUAGACUCUAAUGCCAGAUUACCGUCUAGCGCACUGCCGUGAAACUCUAUGGCAACAACCAUACGAAGCCGGCCGACUAUGAUGCCGCUAGACACAUAGGGGAAAUUCUCCUAUUUGUGUUAAAUUGUACAUUUGAAAAGAGUGAGACUUGUGUUUCAUAUCCCAAAUAUGCAAAAAAAUGGAAGUAAAAAGUUGGAAGACCAACAACUUUCCCCUGAUGCUAGCCAAGUUCAUGCCUGCAGUAUAAAUGCCUUACCACCAUGCUGUCUGGCUCAGUCAUUAUCUGCAUGCCAAUGAUGUAGCUCUCUGGUGUCAUGUUACCUUGCUCAAAUGGGCAAUAAUGGAAUACGCCCACCCCUCUCUAGAGCAGCGUUGAAGGGUAGGGAGGCUAAGCAAGAAAUCGAAACCAACCAAAGCAGCCAUGACAAGGUUGUUCUGUCCACUGCUCCUUAUUACAACAGUAAUUUGUAAAAUUUUUGCAGCAGCAGGAGUGCGCAGUUAUCUACUCACCAAUUUCGGACUUUGGGGGUUGUUUACUGGCCCUUUACGCUUUGAUGGCUCUUCAUGCCAGAGCACAAGUUUUCAGGUUUAUUGAUAACUGGCAGCCGCAUUUUGAUGAACAAAGAUUACAAGAACGCUCUCGUACCAUGUGUUGCAAUGUGAUAUGGUCAAAAUUUAUCCAGAGCUGGCCACUACAGCACCCACAUGAUGUGCUGCCUAAUUUAACCAUGUCAAAACUUCAUAACUAUGAGACAAGUUUACAGAUGUCUCGUUACAAGGAAAAAAAUGGAACAGGACACUAAAUCGACAUGCUUUCAUUGGCGUUACGUGGUUGCCACUAAACAUGUAUGGAGCCCCCAGUGUAGCCAAUUCUUGUUGCUCUACAGGCAAGGUUAAUGACAUUUCGGCGUCUGUUCAUGAGAACGCAUUACACGCUGUCUUGUUAAAUGUUUGCCCAUCUUAUUUGUAUGAGUGAACACGUGCGAUCAGUUUCGCGGGCCUCUCCUUCAGUGUGUAGGUAAAUGUUCUUGCAAGUACCUGGUGACAUCUAAGCUCUACACAAAUGUAUAUAUGUUUGCCAAUAAAUUGUUUUCCAAAACGAA
rnacentral:lncRNA from 1 species